AGAGUUUGAUCCUGGCUCAGGAUGAACGCUGGCGGCGUGCUUAACACAUGCAAGUCGAACGAACCUUCGGGUUAGUGGCGGACGGGUGAGUAACGCGUGAGAAUCUGCCCUCAGGAGGGGGAUAACGGCUGGAAACGGCCGCUAAUACCCCAUAUGCCGAGAGGUGAAACGAGUUUCCGCCUGAGGAUGAGCUCGCGUCUGAUUAGCUAGUUGGUGAGGUAAGGGCUUACCAAGGCAUCGAUCAGUAGCUGGUCUGAGAGGAUGAUCAGCCACACUGGGACUGAGACACGGCCCAGACUCCUACGGGAGGCAGCAGUGGGGAAUUUUCCGCAAUGGGCGAAAGCCCGACGGAGCAACGCCGCGUGAGGGACGAAGGCCUCUGGGCUGUAAACCUCUUUUCUCAAGGAAGAAGAUCUGACGGUACUUGAGGAAUAAGCCACGGCUAAUUCCGUGCCAGCAGCCGCGGUAAUACGGGAGUGGCAAGCGUUAUCCGGAAUUAUUGGGCGUAAAGCGUCCGCAGGCGGCCUUGUAAGUCUGCUGUCAAAGAGCGGAGCUCAACUCCAUAGAGGCAGUGGAAACUGUAAGGCUUGAGUGUGGUAGGGGCAGAGGGAAUUCCCGGUGUAGCGGUGAAAUGCGUAGAUAUCGGGAAGAACACCAGUGGCGAAGGCGCUCUGCUGGGCCAUAACUGACGCUCAUGGACGAAAGCCAGGGGAGCGAAAGGGAUUAGAUACCCCUGUAGUCCUGGCCGUAAACGAUGAACACUAGGUGACGGGGGAAUCGACCCCCUCGGUGUCGUAGCCAACGCGUUAAGUGUUCCGCCUGGGGAGUACGCACGCAAGUGUGAAACUCAAAGGAAUUGACGGGGGCCCGCACAAGCGGAGGAGCAUGUGGCUUAAUUCGAUGCAACGCGAAGAACCUUACCAGGGCUUGACAUCUAGCUGCACGCCUCCCGAAAGGGAGGAAGCCUUCGAGGGUGCUAGACAGGUGCUGCAUGGCUGUCGUCAGUUCGUGCCGUGAGGUGUUGGGUUAAGUCCCGCAACGAACGCAACCCUUGUGUCUAGUUGCCACCGGUGACGUUAAGUUGCCGAGCACUCUAGACAGACUGCCUGUACAAGCAGGAGGAAGGUGGGGACGACGUCAAGUCAGUAUGGCCCUUACGCCCUGGGCUGCACACGUGCUACAAUGGCUGGUACAAUGGGCUGCAAUACCGCGAGGUGGAGCUAAUCCCCAAAACCAGCCCCAGUUCGGAUUGGAGUCUGCAACUCGACUCCAUGAAGGUGGAUUCGCUAGUAAUGCCGCAUCAGCUACGGCGGCGUGAAUACGUUCCCGGGCCUUGUACACACCGCCCGUCACAUCAUGAAAGCCGUCUGCACCCGUAGUCGCUGAGCCAACCCGCAAGGGAGGCAGGUGCCGAAGGUGUGGGUGGUGAUU
rnacentral:rRNA from 1 species